rnacentral:rRNA from 1 species
UACAGAGGAUGCAAGCGUUAUCCGGAAUGAUUGGGCGUAAAGCGUCUGUAGGUGGCUUUUUAAGUCCGCCGUCAAAUCCCAGGGCUCAACUCUGGACAGGCGGUGGAAACUACCGAGCUGGAGUACGGUAGGGGCAGAGGGAAUUUCCGGUGGAGCGGUGAAAUGCGUAGAGAUCGGAAAGAACAUCGGUGGCGAAAGCGCUCUGCUGGACUGCAACUGACACUCAGGGACGAAAGCUAGGGGAGCGAAUGGG